rnacentral:rRNA from 1 species
AUGUUCUCGUCACAAUUAGUGAGUCGCAUCAGCAACAUACGCACCUCCCUCAUCAACGCGCAGAAGAGUAACCUCUCGGUUGCCUCCUACUUUGCCGCCAUGCAUGGCUAUGCCGAUGAGGUGGCCGCGGCGGGCAAGCCCAUCCAGGACGAUGAGCUCCUCUCGUACAUCAUCCACGGGUUGGAUGCGGACUACCAGCCACUGGUGUCGGCCCUCGACGCCCGUGUUACUCCUGCAACCCUCGACGAGCUCUUCACCAUGCUGUCAAACUUCGACCAGCGCAUGGCACAGUUCCAUGGAUCCGGCGGCGGGUUCAAAUCUUCCGCAAACCUGGCGUCGCGCGGACGGGGUGGUGGCUCCUGCUCACGUGGCUCCCCGCGCUACAAAGGGCGAUCUGGAGGCGGCGGCAACGAUCGCGUCCACUCUCCUCAGCGCUCGGGUGGCCGCGGGCGCGAGCGCGGGCGCGGUGGUGGAAACCGAACGCGUCCAGAGACUCCGCGGUGCCAAAUCUGCGGGAAGCCCGGUCACACAGCAAAGGAUUGUUGGUACCGUUAUGAUGAGGAUGAGGACUCUCAAGACGAUGACAAGGUAGCUGCUGCCGCUGAUGGUUCCUACGGUAUUGACACCAAUUGGUACGUCGAUAGCGGUGCCACAAACCACAUCACGAACGAGCUUGAGAAGGUCACCAUGAAAGAAAAAUAUUGCGACAAAGAUUAA